CUCAACCAUAUGUGACCCAGACGAAUCGUGUGAGAUCCACGCCUGAAUUACACCUGAACCAUGUGUGAGCAAUGCAGGAAGCACAUGGGAGACUCCCUUGAACCACAUCUGAAGGACCUGUGAUUCUGGCGAGUCGAGCAGGUGGUUCCGGUGUGCUCAGCAGGUGGUUCAGUCAGGUCUGGCAGGUGGUUCUGGUCUGUCCGGGAGGUGGUUCCGGUGUGUAUGGCACAUGUUUCUGGCAUGUCUGAGACAUGGUUCCGGCAUGCCCGACAAAUGAUUCCAGAGUGUCUGCCAAGUGGCUCUGGCAUAGCUAGCAGGUGAUUUUGGCGUGUAUGGCAGGUGGUUCCAGUGAGACGAGCAAGUGCUACUGGUGUGCUCAACAGGUGGUUAACGCGUGUCCGCCAGAUGGUUCCUGUCUGUCCGUGAGGUGGUUCUGGCGUGUCCGGCACAUGGUUCUGGCAUGUCUGAGAGGUGGUUCCUGCAUGCCCGGCAGGUGAUUCCGGAGUGUCCGCCAAGUGGUUCUGGCGUAGCUGUCAGGUGAUGUUGGCGUGUCCGGCAGGUGGACCGGGCGAAUCGAGGUGGUGAUUCCGGCGUGCUCGGCAUGUGGCUCAGGCAUGUCUGGCAGGUGGUUCCGGUCUGUACGGCAGGUGGUUCCGGUGUUUUUGGCACGUGUUUCUGGCACAUCUUAGAGGUGGUUCCAGCAUGCCCAGCAGGUGAUUCCAGAGUGUCGGCCAAGUGGUUCUGGUGUAGCUGGCAGGUGAUUUUGACGUGUCUGGCUGAUGGUUGUGGCGAAGCGAGUAAGUGAGUCCGGUGUUCUCGGGAGGUGAUUCCGGCGUGUCUGGCACAUGGUCCUGGCACGUCUGAGAGGUGGUUCCGACAUGCCCGGCAGGUGAUUCCGGAGUGUAUGCCAAGUGGUUCUGGUGUUGCCGGCAGGUGAUUUUGGCCUGUCCGGCAGGUUGUUCCGGCGAGUCGAGCAAGUGGUUCCAGCGUCCUCCGCAGGUGGUUCUGAAUUGUCCGGCAGGUGUUUCCGGUCAGUCCGUUAGGUGGUUCCUGCGUGUGAGGCACGUGGUUCUGGCGCGUCUGAGAUGUGCUUCCGGUAUGCCCGGCAGGUGAAUCUGGAGUGUCCACCAAGUUGUUGUGGCGUAGCCGGCAGGUGAUUUUGGCUUGUCCGGAAUGUGGUUCUGGCGAGUUGAGGAGGGGGUUCCGCCGUGCUUCACAGGUGGUUCAGGCGUCUCCAGCAGGUGGUUCCGUUCUGUCCAGGAGGUGCUUCUGGCGUGUCUGGCAUGUUUUUCUGGCACGUCUGAGAAGUGCUUCUGGCAUGCCCGGCAUGUGAUUCUUGAGUGUCCACCAGUGGUUCUGGCGUAGCCAGCAGGUGAUUUUGGCAUAUCCUUCAUGGGGUUCCAGCGAGUCAAGCAGGAGUUUCCGGCGUGCUUGGCAGGUGAUUUUGGUAUGUCUGGCAGGUGGUUGUGGCGAGGCGAGCAGGUGGGUCCAGCAUGCUCAGCAGGUGGUUCUGGCGUGUCCAGCAUGUGGUUCCAGUCAGUCCGGUAGGUGGUUCCGGCAUGUCCGGCACGUGCUUCCGACAUGUCUGAGAGGUUGUGCCAGCAUGCCCCGCCGGUGAUUCUGGAGUGUCCGGCAAGUGGUUCUGGUGUAGCUGGCAGGUGAUUUUGACGUGUCCGGCAGGUGGGUCCACUGAGUCGAGCAGGUGGUUCUGGCAUGCUCGACAGGUGGUUCAGACGUGUCUGGCAGGUGGUUCCUUUCUGUCCUGUAGAGGGUUCCGGCAAGUCCAGCACGUGGUUCUGGAACACCUGAGAGGUUGUUCCGGCAUGCCUGGCAGGUGAUUAAGGAGUGUCCGGCAAGACGUUCUGGCUUAGCCAGCAGGUGAUUUUGGUGUGUCCGGCAGGUGGCUCUGGCGUGUUGAGCAGGUGGUUCCGGCUUGCUUGGCAGGUGCUUCCGGCGUGUCCGGCAGGUGGUUCCGGUCUGUCCGGGAGGUGGUCCUGGUGUGUCUGGCACGUGUUUCUGGCACGUCUGAGACGUCUGGUUCCGGCAUGCCUGACAAAUGAUUCCGGAGUGUCUGCCAAGUGGUUCUGGCAUAGCUAACAGGUGAUUUUGGCGUGUAUGGCAGGUGGUUCCGGCGAGUCGAGCAAGUGCUGCUGGUGUGCUCAACAGGUGGUUAACGCGUGUCUGCCAGAUGAUUCCGGUCUGUCCGUGAGGUGGUUCUGGCAUGUCCGGCACGUGGUUCUGGCAUUUCUGAGAGGUGGUUCCUUCAUGCCCGGCAGGUGAUUCUGGAGUGUCCACCAAAUGGUUCUGGCGUAGCUGGCAGGUGAUUUUGGCGUGUCCGGCAGGUGGACCAGGCGAAACGAGCCGGUGCUUCCGGCGUGCUCGGCAUGUGGCUCAGGCGUGUCCGGCACGUGGUUCUGGCACGUCUGAGAGGUGGUUGCAGCAUGCCGGUAAGGUGAUUCCUGAGUGCCUGCCAAGUGGUUCCGGCAUAGCCGGCAGGUGAUUUUGACAUGUCUGGCAGGUGGUUCUGGCAAGUCGAGCAGGUAGUUCUGGCAUGUUCAGCAGUUGGUUCAGGCGUGUCCAGCAGGUGGUUCCGGUUAGUCCCAGAGGUGGUUCUGGGGUGUCCGGCACGUGUUUCAGGCAUGUCUGAGAGGUGGUUCCGGCAUGCCUGGCAGGUGAUUCCGGAGUGUCCGCCAAGUGGUUAUAGCCUGGCCGACAGGUGGUUCAGGCGUGUCUGGCAGGGGGUUCCGGUCUGUACGGGAGGUGGUUCCGGCGUUUUCGGCAUGUGUUUCUGGCACAUCUGAGAGGUGGUUCCAGCAUGCCCGGCAGGUGAUUCCGGAGUGUCGGCCAAGUGGUUCUGGCAUAGUUGGCAGGUGAUUUUGACGUGUCCGGCAGGUGGUUGUGGCGAGGCGAAUAAGUGAUUCUGGUGUGCUCAGGAGGUGGUUCCGGCGUCUCUGGCACGUGGUCCUGGCAUGUCUGAGAGGUGGUUCCGACAUGCCCAGCAAAUGAUUCCAGAGUGUAUACCAAGUGGUUCUGGCAUUGCCAACAGGUGAUUUUGGCAUGUCCGGCAGGUGGUUCGGGUGAGUCGAGCAGGUGGUUCUGGCGCGCUCGGCAGGUGGUUCUGAAGUGUCCGGCAGGUGGUUCCGGUCUUUCCGGGAGGUCGUUCCGGCGUGUGCGGCACCUGUUUCUGGCACGUCUGAGAGGUGGUUCUGGCAUGCCCAGCAGGUCAUUCCGGAGUGUCCGCUAAGUGGUUCUGGCCUAGCCAGCAGGUGAUAUUGGCGGUUCCGGCAGGUGGUUCCGGCGAGUUGAGCAGGUGGUUCCGGCAUGCUCGGCAGGUGGUUCAGGAGUGUCCAGCAGUUGGUUCCUGUCUGUCCAGGAGAUGGUCCCAGCAUGUCUGGCAUGUAGUUCUGGUACGUCUGAGAUGUGGUUCCAGCAUGCCCGGAAGGUGAUUCAGGAGUGUCGGCCAUGUGGUUCUCACAUAGCCGGCAGGUGAUUUUGGCGGGUCCGGCAGGUGGUUCUGGCGAGUUGAGCAGGUGGUUCCUGCAUGCUCGGCAUGUGGUCAGGUGUGUCCUGCAGAUGGUUCCAGUCUGUCCUGUAGGUGCUUUCAGCGUUUCCGGCACAUGGUUCUGGGUCGUCUCAGAGGUGGUUCCGGCAUGCCCGGCAGGUGAUCCGGACUGUCCCCAACGUGGUUCUGGCAUAGCCGGAAGGUGAUUUUGAUGUGUCCAGCACGUGGUUCCGGUGAGUCGAGCAGGUGGUUCCGGCGUGCUGGGCUGGUGCUUCAGGUGUGUCCGGCAGGUUGUUCCGGUCUCUCUGGUAGGUGGCUGUGGUGUGCUCAGCAGGUGCUUCCGGCAUCCCCGGCGCGUACUCCUAGCACGUCUGAGAGGUGGUUCCGGCAUGCCCGGCGGGUGAUUCCACACUGUCCGGCAAGUGGUUCUGGUGUAGCCAGCAGGUGAUUUUCGUGUGUCCGCGAGGUGGUUCCAGCGAGUCGAGGAGGUGGUUCCGGCGUGCUCAGCAGGUGGUUCAGGUGGGUCCGGCUGGUGGUUCAGGUCUGUCUGGGAGGUGGUUCCGGCGUGUCCAGCACAUGGUUCUGGUACGUCUUAGAGGUGGUUCCGGCAUGCCCGACAGGUGAUUCCGGAGUUU
rnacentral:lncRNA from 1 species